rnacentral:rRNA from 1 species
GAUGAACGCUGGCGGCGUGCCUAAUACAUGCAAGUCGAGCGAACGGACGAGAAGCUUGCUUCUCUGAUGUUAGCGGCGGACGGGUGAGUAACACGUGGAUAACUUACCUAUAAGACUGGGAUAACUUCGGGAAACCGGAGCUAAUACCGGAUAAUAUUUUGAACCGCAUGGUUCAAAAGUGAAAGACGGUCUUGCUGUCACUUAUAGAUGGAUCCGCGCUGCAUUAGCUAGUUGGUAAGGUAACGGCUUACCAAGGCAACGAUGCAUAGCCGACCUGAGAGGGUGAUCGGCCACACUGGAACUGAGACACGGUCCAGACUCCUACGGGAGGCAGCAGUAGGGAAUCUUCCGCAAUGGGCGAAAGACUGACGGAGCAACGCCGCGUGAGUGAUGAAGGUCUUCGGAUCGUAAAACUCUGUUAUUAGGGAAGAACAUAUGUGUAAGUAACUGUGCACAUCUUGACGGUACCUAAUCAGAAAGCCACGGCUAACUACGUG